rnacentral:lncRNA from 1 species
GUUACAAGUUGCCCAGUUACCCCGGCUUCUGAGAUGAAGAAUAUCAUUGAAGUCAAAUCUGGUGGCUAUCACACUCCAUGGAACUUGGGGCAACAUUUAGGUACCUCUACCCAGGAAAGAAUCUCUGAGAAAUAGGUGGCAGUUUCUCUAGCAGCAUAAGAACCUUGAUAAGCAUCAUCCUUAAGUCCUGACAGCAGUGGAUGACUAGUCAGGAACCUGUCCAGGAAUAUCCAGCACAAUAAGCAUUGAAGAAACAAAUGGCAACGCAAGCUCAAAGGAUUCCAAGCCAUUAUGAACUGACUCUUCAAAUAAGUGCUUAUUUUCACAUAACCAGGGAGUUUCUGGAUUAACUUCCAUAUAAGACAUAUUUAUUAAAAGAUUUGCACCCCUAUUGCUGGCACUGGGUGGACCUCCCCAAAGGCUCUGCCCUUGGUGCUCUUCUGCCGGUUAUUCUCGUCCAUGACCCCAGAGUCAGGGAGAAUCUCACCAGUGCAGCCCAGGGCACCUCUGAUAACAUCUGAGCAGAGUGAGGGAGAAGAAACGCACG